AACGAACGCUGGCGGCAGGCUUAACACAUGCAAGUCGAGCGCCCCGCAAGGGGAGCGGCAGACAGGUGAGUAACACGUGGGAACGUACCUUUUGCUACGGAAUAGCUCCGGGAAACUGGAAUUAAUACCGUAUGUGCCCUUCGGGGGAAAGAUUUAUCGGCAAAAGAUCGGCCCGCGUCUGAUUAGCUAGUUAGUGGGGUAAUGGCCUACCAAGGCGACGAUCAGUAGCUGGUCUGAGAGGAUGAUCAGCCACACUGGGACUGAGACACGGCCCAGACCCCUACGGGAGGCAGCAGUGGGGAAUAUUGGACAAUGGGCGCAAGCCUGAUCCAGCCAUGCCGCGUGAGUGAUGAAGGCCUUAGGGUUGUAAAGCUCUUUCGCUAGGGAAGAUAAUGACGGUACCUAGAGAAGAAGCCCCGGCUAACUUCGUGCCAGCAGCCGCGGUAAUAC
rnacentral:rRNA from 1 species